AGUCACUGACAUUAGAUACCCCUGUAGUCCAGGGUGUAAACGCUGCAGACUUGGUGUUGGGAACCCUUCGGGGGUGCUCAGUGCCGGAGAGAAGUUGUUAAGUCUGCUACUUGGGGAGUACGUCCGCAAGGAUGAAACUUAAGGAAUUGGCGGGGGAGCACCGCAACGGGAGGAGCGUGCGGUUUAAUUGGAUUCAACACCGUAAAACUCACCAGGGAAGACUGUUACAUGAAAGCCGAGAUGAAGACUCUGCUAGAUUUCAG
rnacentral:rRNA from 1 species